AACUUGAGUUUGUUUCAUGUUUGAACUUGAGUUUUUGGUGUCUUUGAACUUGAAUUUUUGGUGUUUUUGAAAUUGAGCUUGUGGAAGUUGUUAAACUUGAGAAUUGGGUAUUGGUUGAACUUGAGUUUUUUGUGUUUUUGAACUUGAGUUUGUUUCGUGUUUGAACUUGAGUUUAUGGUGUUUUUGAACUUGAGUUUGUGGUGUUUUUGAACUUGAGGUUGUGGAAAUUGUUAAACUUGAGAAUUGGGUAUUGGUUGAACUGAUUUUUUUGUGUUUUUGAUCUUGAGUUUGUGUCGUGUUUGAACUUGAGUUUAUGGGUUUUUUUAACUUGAAUUUGCAUGUUUGGUGAACUUGAGUUUUCGUGUUUUUUUGAACUUGAGUUUCUGUUUUUUUGAACUUGAGGUUGUGGAAAUUGUUAAACCGUAUAAUCGGGUGUUGGUUGAACUUGAGUUUGUUUUUUUUUUUAACUUGAGUUUGUGGUGUGUUUGAACUUGAGUUUGUGGUGUUUAUGAACUUGAGUUUGUGUGUUUGUUGAACUUGAAAUUGUGUUAUUUUUGAACUUGAGUUUUUGGUGGUCUUGCACUUGAGGUUGAGGAAAUUGUUAAACUUAAGAAUUGGGUAUUGGUUGAACUUGCGUUUUUUGUGUUUUUAAAUUGGGUUUUUGUAGUGUUUGAACCUGAGUUUGUGGUGUUUUUGAACUUGAAGUUGUGUUUAUUUUUAACUUGAGGGUGUGAAAUUUUUUAAAGUUGAGAAUUGGGUUUUGGUUGAACUUGAGUUUGUGGUGUUUUUUAACUUGAGUUUGUUUCAUGUUUGAACUUGAGUUUUUGGUGUCUUUGAACUUGAAUUUUUGGUGUUUUUGAAAUUGAGCUUGUGGAAGUUGUUAAACUUGAGAAUUGGGUAUUGGUUGAACUUGAGUUUUUUGUGUUUUUGAACUUGAGUUUGUUUCGUGUUUGAACUUGAGUUUAUGGUGUUUUUGAACUUGAGUUUGUGGUGUUUUUGAACUUGAGGUUGUGGAAAUUGUUAAACUUGAGAAUUGGGUAUUGGUUGAACUGAUUUUUUUGUGUUUUUGAUCUUGAGUUUGUGUCGUGUUUGAACUUGAGUUUAUGGGUUUUUUUAACUUGAAUUUGCAUGUUUGGUGAACUUGAGUUUUUGUGUUUUUUUGAACUUGAGUUUCUGUUUUUUUGAACUUGAGGUUGUGGAAAUUGUUAAACCGUAUAAUCGGGUGUUGGUUGAACUUGAGUUUGUUUUUUUUUUAACUUGAGUUUGUGGUGUGUUUGAACUUGAGUUUGUGGUGUUUAUGAACUUGAGUUUGUGUGUUUGUUGAACUUGAAAUUGUGUUAUUUUUGAACUUGAGUUUUUGGUGGUCUUGCACUUGAGGUUGAGGAAAUUGUUAAACUUAAGAAUUUGGUAUUGGUUGAACUUGCGUUUUUUGUGUUUUUAAAUUGGGUUUUUGUAGUGUUUGAACCUGAGUUUGUGGUGUUUUUGAACUUGAAGUUGUGUUUAUUUUUAACUUGAGGGUGUGACAUUUUUUAAAGUUGAGAAUUGGGUUAUGUUUGAACUUGAGUUUCUGUUGUUUUUGAACUUGAGUUUGUCCGUGUUAGAACUUGAGUUUUUGGCGUUUGUUGAACUUGAGUUUCUGUUGUUUUUGAACUUGAGUUUGUGUCGUGUUUUUGAAAUUGAGCUUGUGUGUUUGUUGAACUUGAGUUUGUGUUAUGUUUGAACUUGAGUUUCUGUUGUUUUUGAACUUGAGUUUGUGUCGUGUUUUUGAACUUGAGUUUUUGGUGUUUUUGAACUUGAGGGUGUGGAAUUUGUUAAACUUGAGAAUUGGGUAUUGGUUGAAUUUGAGUUUCUGUGUUUGUUGAAAUUGAGUUUGUGUCAUGUUUGAACUUGAGUUUGUGGUCUUUUUGAACUUGAGUUUGUGUGUUUGUUGAACUUGAGUUGUGGCGUUUGUUGAACUCUAGGUUGUGGCAAUUGUUAAACUUGAGAUUUGGUUGUUGGUUGAACUUGAGUUUGUGUCGUGUUUGAACUUGAGUUCGUGUUGUUUGUUGAACUUGAAUUUGUGUGUUUUUUGAACUUAAUUUUUUUGAACUUGAGUUUGUGGCAAUUGUUGAACUUGAGUCUGUGGUUUUUGGUGAACUUUAAUUGGUGGCAAUUGUUGAACUUGAGUUUGUGGUGUUUUUGAACUUGAGUUUGUUUCGUGUUUGAACUGUGUUUGUGGUGUUUUUGAACUUGAGUUUUUGGUGUUUUUGAACUUGAGGGUGUGUUGUGUUUUUGAACUUGAGUUUGUGGUGUUUUUGAACUUGAGUUUGUGGCGGUUUUUGAACUUGAGGUUGUUGCAAUUGUUGAACUUGAAAUAAAAACCCAAAUAUGAACCCAAAUAUAUAUUUUUUCUUUUUACAUUUUUUUUGGUGUAACCAACUCCAAAAGGUCUUAAACAUGUUCCUAAAAAGGUUUUGGACAGUGAUUUUAACCCUAACGCCAAAAACCUUAAACCUAAUCCUAGCCCCAUAACCUAAUACCCGGGUAUUACCUUCAGGAAGCCCGAACACCCCAAAUAUUUUUUUUCUUUUUCUUUUUUUUUUGUCUAACUAACUCCCAAAGGUCUGAAAGAUGUUCCUUAAAAAAUAUUGGACAGUGAUUUUAACCCUAACGCCAAAAAGCUUAAACCUAACCCUAGCCCCAAAACCUAAUACCCGGGUAUUACCUUCAGUAAGCACGAAAACCCCAAAUAUUUUUUUUCAUUUUUCGUUUUUUUUUGGUCUAACUAACUCCAAAAGUUUGGAAAAUAGUUCCUACAAAGGUUUUGGACAGUGAUUUUAACCCUAACGCCAAAAACCUUAAACCUUACUAUAGCCCCAUAACCUAAUACCCGGGUAUUACCUUCAGGAAGCUUGAACACCCCAAUAUUUUUUUUUCAUUUUACAUUUUUUUUUGGUGUAACCAACUCCAAAAGGUCUGAAACAUGUUCCUAAAAAGGUUUUGGACAGUGAUUUUAACCCUAACGCCAAAAACCUUAAACCUUACACUAGCCCCAUAACCUAAUACCCGGGUAUUUCCUUCAGGAAGCCCGAAGACCCCAAAUAUAUUUUUUUCAUUUUUUUUUUUUUGUUCUAACUAACUCCAAAAGGUUGGAAAAGAGUUCCUACAAAAGUUUUGGACAGUGAUUUUAACCCUAACGCCAAAAACCUUAAACCUUACUAUAGCCCCAUAACCUAAUACCCGGGUAUUACCUUCAGGAAGCCCGAACACCCCAAAUAUUUUUUUUUUAAUUUUACAUUUUUUUUUGGUGUAACCAACUCUAAAAGGUCUUAAACAUGUUCCUAAAAAGGUUUUGGACACUGAUUUUAACUCUAACGCCAAAAACCUUAAACCUUACCCUAGCCCCAUAACCUAAUACCCGGGUAUUACCUUCAGGAGACCCGAACACCCCAAAUAUAUUUUUUUCUUUUUCUUUUUUUUUUGUCUAACUAACUCCCAAAGGUCUGAAACAUGUUCCUUAAAAAAUAUUGGACAGUUAUUUUAACCCUAACGCCAAAAACCUUAAACCUAACCCUAGCCCCAAAACCUAAAACCCGGGUAUUACCCUCAGGAAGCCCGAACACCCCAAAUAUUUUUUUUUCAUUUAUCUUAUUUUUUUUGUCUAACUUAUUCCCAAAGGUUGGAAAAUAGUUCCUACAAAGGUUUUGGACAGUGAUUUUAACCCUAACGCCAAAAACCUUAAACCUAACCCUAGCCCCAAAACCUAAUACCCGGGUAUUACCUUCAGGAAGCUUGAACACCCCAAAUAUUUUUUUUUCAGUUUACAUUUUUUUUUGGUGUAACCAACUCCAAAAGGUCCGAAACAUGUUCCUAAAAAGGUUUUGGACAGUGAUUUUAACCCUAACGCCAAAAACCUUAAACCUUACCCUAGCCCCAUAACCUAAUACCCGGGUAUUACCUUCAGGAAGCCCGAACACCCCAAAUAUAUUUUUUUCUUUUUUCUUUUUUUUUGGUCUAACUAACUCCAAAAGGUCGGAAAAGAGUUCCUACAAAGGUUUUGGACAGUGAUUUUAACCCUAACACCAAAAACCUUAAACCUUACCCUAGCCCCAAAACAUAAUACCCGGGUAUUACCUUCAGGAAGCCCAAACACCCCAAAUAUUUUUUUUUUCAUUUUACAUUUUUUUUGGUGUAACCAACUCCAAAAGGUCUGAAACAUGUUCCUAAAAAGGUUUUGGACAGUGAUUUUAACCCUUACGCCAAAAACCUUAAACCUUACCCUAGCCCCAUAACCUAAUACCUGGGUAUUACCUUCAGGAAGCCCGAACACCCCAAAUAUAUAUUUUUUCUUUUUCUUUUUUUUUUUGGUCAAACUAGCUCCAAAAGGUCUGAAACAUGUUCCUUAAAAAGGUUUUGGACAGUGAUUUUAACCCUUACGCCAAAAACCUUAAACCUUAUCCUAGCCCCAUAACCUAAUACUUAAACCUGAAGGGUAUUACCUUCAGGAAGCCCGAACACCCCAAAUAUUUUUUUUUUGCAUUUUACAUUUUUUUUGGUGUAACCAACUCCAAAAGGUCUGAAUCUUGUUCCUUAAAAGGUUUUGGACAGUGAUUUUAACCCUAACGCCAAAAACCUUAAACCUUACCCUAGCCCCAAAACCUAAUACCUUCAGGAAGCCCGAACACCCCAAAUAUAUUUUUUUCUUUUUACUUUUUUUUUGGUCUAACUAACUCCAAAAGGUCUGAAACAUGUUCCUUAAAAAAUAUUGGACAGUGAUUUUAACCCUCACGCCAAAAACCUUAAACCUUACCCUAGCCCCAUAACCUAAUACCCGGGUAUUACCUUCAGGAAGCCCGAACACCCCAAAUACUUUUUUUUUUUCAUUUUACAUUUUUUUUGGUGUAACCAACUCCAAAAGGUCUUAAACAUGUUCCUAAAAAGGUUUUGGACACUGAUUUUAACUCUAACGCCAAAAACCUUAAACCUAACCCUAGCCCCAAAACCUAAUACCCGGGUAUUACCUUCAGGAAGCCCGAACACCCAAAAUAUAUAUUUUUUAUUUUUCUUUAUUUUUGGUCUAACUUGCCCUCAAAGGUUGGAAAAGAGUUCCUACAAAGGUUUUGGACAUUGAUUUUAACCCUAACGCCAAAAACCUUAAACAUUACCCUAGCCCAGAAACCUAGUAUUACCUUCAGGAAGCCCGAACACCCAAAAAAAAAUUUUUUUUCAUUUUACAUUUUUUUUGGUGUAACCAACUCCAAAAGGUCUGAAACAUGUUCCUAAAAAGGUUUUGGACAGUGAUUUUAACCCUUACGCCAAAAACCUUAAACCUUACCCUAGCCCCAUGACCUAAUACCCGGGUAUUACCUUCAGGAAGCCCAAACACCCCAAAUAUUUUUUUUUCAUUUAUCUUUUUUUUUUUUUGUCUAACUAACUCCAAAAGGUUGGAAAAGACUUCCUACAAAGGUUUUGGACGGUGAUUUUAACCCUCACGCCAAAAACCUUAAACCUUACCCUAGCCCCAUAACCUCAUACCCGGGUAUUUCCUUCAGGAAGCCCGAAGACCCCAAAUAUAUUUUUUUCUUUUUUCUUUUUUUUUGGUCUAACUAACUCCAAAAGGUCGGAAAAGAGUUCCUACAAAGGUUUUGGACGGUGAUUUUAACCCUAACACCGAAAACCUUAAACCUUACCCUAGCCCCAAAACCUAAUACCUGGGUAUUACCUUCAGAAACCUUGAACACCCCAAAUAUUUUUUUUUUCAUUUUACAUUUUUUUUUGGUGUUACCAACUCCAAAAGGUCUGAAACAUGUUCCUACAAAGGUUUUGGACAGUGAUUUUAACCCUAACGCCAAAAACCUUUAACCUUACUAUAGCCCCAUAACCUAAUACCUGGGUAUUUCCUUCAGGAAGCCCGAAGACCCCAAAUAUUUUUUUUUUCAUUUUACAUUUUUUUUGGUGUAACCAACUCCAAAAGGUCUUAAACAUGUUCCUAAAAAGGUUUUGGACACUGAUUUUAACUCUAACGCCAAAAACCUUAAACCUUACCCUAGCCCCAAAACCUAAUACCCGAGUAUUACCUUCAGGAAGCCCAAAAACCCCAAAUAUUUUUUUUCAUUUUUCGUUUUUUUUUUGGUCUAACUAACUCCAAAAGGUUGGAAAAUAGUUCCUACAAAGGUUUUGGACAGUGAUUUUAACCCUAACGCCAAAAACCUUUAACCUUUCUAUAGCCCCAUAACCUAAUACCUGGGUAUUUCCUUCAGGAAGCCCGAAGACCCCAAAUAUACUUUUUUUCAUUUUACAUUUCUUUUUGGUGUAACCAACUCCAAAAGGUCUGAAACGUGUUCCUAAAAAGGUUUUGGACAGUGAUUUCAACCCUAACGCCAAAAACCUUAAACCUAACCCUAGCCCCAAAACCUAAUACCUGGGUAUUACCUUCAGGAAGCCCGAACACCCAAAAUAUAUAUUUUUUAUUUUUCUUUAUUUUUGGUCUAACUUGCCCUCAAAGGUUGGAAAAGAGUUCCUACAAAGGUUUUGGACAUUGAUUUUAACCCUAACGCCAAAAACCUUAAACAUUACCCUAGCCCAGAAACCUAGUAUUACCUUCAGGAAGCCCGAACACCCAAAAAAAUUUUUUUUUCAUUUUACAUUUUUUUUGGUGUAACCAACUCCAAAAGGUCUGAAACAUGUUCCUAAAAAGGUUUUGGACAGUGAUUUUAACCCUUACGCCAAAAACCUUAAACCUUACCCUAGCCCCAUGACCUAAUACCCGGGUAUUACCUUCAGGAAGCCCGAACACCCCAAAUAUAUAUUUUUUCUUUUUACAUUUUUUUUGGUGUAACCAACUCCAAAAGGUCUUAAACAUGUUCCUAAAAAGGUUUUGGACAGUGAUUUUAAACCUAACGCCAAAAACCUUAAACCUUACCCUAGCCCCAUAACCUCAUACCCGGGUAUUUCCUUCAGGAAGCCCGAAGACCCCAAAUAUAUUUUUUUCUUUUUUCUUUUUUUUUGGUCUUACUAACUCCAAAAGGUCGGAAAAGAGUUCCUACAAAGGUUUUGGACGGUGAUUUUAACCCUAACACCAAAAACCUUAAACCUUACCCUAGCCCCAAAACCUAAUACCCGGGUAUUACCUUCAGGAAGCUUGAACACCCCAAAUAUUUUUUUUUUCAUUUUACAUUUUUUUUUGGUGUUACCAACUCCAAAAGGUCUGAAACAUGUUCCUACAAAGGUUUUGGACAGUGAUUUUAACCCUAACGCCAAAAACCUUUAACCUUCCUAUAGCCCCAUAACGUAAUACCUGGGUAUUUCCUUCAGGAAGCCCGAAGACCCCAAAUAUAUUUUUUUUCAUUUUACAUUUUUUUUGGUGUAACCAACUCCAAAAGGUUGGAAAAUAGUUCCUACAAAGGUUUUGGACAGUGAUUUUAACCCUAACGCCAAAAACCUUUAACCUUUCUAUAGCCCCAAAACCUAAUACCCGGGUAUUACCUUCAGGAAGCCCAAAAACCCCAAAUUUUUUUUUUCAUUUUUCGUUUUUUUUUUUGGUCUAACUAACUCCAAAAGGUUGGAAAAUAGUUCCUACAAAGGUUUUGGACAGUGAUUUUAACCCUAACGCCAAAAACCUUUAACCUUUCUAUAGCCCCAUAACCUAAUACCUGGGUAUUUCCUUCAGGAAGCCCGAAGACCCCAAAUAUAUUUUUUUUCAUUUUACAUUUUUUUUUGGUGUAACCAACUCCAAAAGGUCUGAAACGUGUUCCUAAAAAGGUUUUGGACAGUGAUUUCAACCCUAACGCCAAAAACCUUAAACCUUACCCUAGCCCCAUAACCUAAUACCUGGGUAUUUCCUUCAGGAAGCCCGAACACCCCAAAUAUAUUUUUUUCUUUUUUCCUUUUUUUUGGUCUAACAAACUCCAAAAGGUUGGAAAAGAGUUCCUACAAAGGUUUUGGACAGUGAUUUUAACCCUACCACCAAAAACCUUAAACCUUACCCUAGCCCCAAAACCUAAUACCCGGGUAUUACCUUCAGGAAGCCCGAACACCCCAAAUAUUUUUUUUUUCAUUUUACAUUUUUUUUGGUGUAACCUACUCCAAAAUGUCUUAAACAUGUUCCUAAAAAGGUUUUGGACACUGAUUUUAACUCUAACGCCAAAAACCUUAAACCUUACCCUAGCCCCAUAACCUAAUACCCGGGUAUUACCUUCAGGAAGCCCGAACACCCCAAAUAUUUUUUUUUUCUUUUUCUUUUUUUUUUUGUCUAACUAACUCCCAAAGGUCUGAAACAUGUUCCUUAAAAAAUAUUGGACAGUUAUUUUGACCCUUACGCCAAAAACCUUAAACCUUACCCUAGCCCCAAAACCUAAUACCCGGGUAUUACCUUCAGGAAGCCCGAACACCCCAAAUAUUUUUUUUUCAUUUAUCUUUUUUUUUUUUUUGUCUAACUUAAUCCCAAAGGUUGGAAAAGAGUUCCUACAAAGGUUUUGGACAGUGAUUUUUACCCUCACGCCAAAAAACCUUAAACCUUACCCUAGCCCCAUAACCUAAUACCCGGGUAUUACCUUCAGGAAGCCCGAACACCCCAAAUAUAUAUUUUUAUUUUUAUUUUUGUUUUGGUCUAACUUGCUCUCAAAGGUUGGAAAAGAGUUCCUACAAAGGUUUUGGACAUUGAUUUUAACCCUAACGCCAAAAACCUUAAACAUUACCCUAGCCCAGAAACCUAGUAUUACCUUCAGGAAGCCCGAACACCCAAAAAAAAUUUUUUUUCAUUUUACAUUUUUUUUUGGUGUAACCAACUCCAAAAGGUCUUAAACGUGUUCCUAAAAAGGUUUUGGACACUGAUUUUAACUCUAACGCCAAAAACCUUAAACCUUACCCUAGCCCCAUAACCUAAUACCCGGGUAUUACCUUCAGGAAGCCCUAACACCCCAAAUAUUUUUUUUUUCUUAUUCUUUUUUUUUUGUCUAACUAACUCCCAAAGGUCUGAAACAUGUUCCUUAAAAAAUAUUGGACAGUUAUUUUGACCCUAACGCCAAAAACCUUAAACCUAACCCUUGCCCCAUAACCUAAUACCCAGGUAUUACCUUCAGGAAGCCCUAACACCCCAAAUAUUUUUUUUUUCUUUUUACAUUUUUUUUGUCUAACUAACUCCCAAAGGUCUGAAACAUGUUCCUUAAAAAAUAUUGGACAGUUAUUUUGACCCUUAUGCCAAAAACCUUAAACCUAACCCUAGCCCCAAAACCUAUUACCUUCAGGAAGCCCGAACACCCCAAAUAUUUUUUUUUCAUUUAUCUUUUUUUUUUUUGUCUAACUUAAUCCCAAAGGUUGGAAAAGAGUUCCUACAAAGGUUUUGGACAUUGAUUUUAACCCUAACGCCAAAAACCUUAAACAUUACCCUAGC